rnacentral:rRNA from 1 species
UACAGAGGUCCCAAGCGUUGUUCGGAUUCACGUGGCGUAAAGGGUGCGUAGGCGGUCGGGUAAGUCUGACGUGAAAUGCUCCGGAGCCCAACCUCGGAAACUGCGUCGGAUACUAUUCGGCUAGAGGAAUGGAGGGGAGACUGGAAUUCUCGGUGUAGCAGUAGAAAUGCGUAGAUAUCGAGAGGAACACCAGUGGCGAAGGCGAGUCUCUGGACAUUUCCUGACGCUGAGGCACGAAAGCCAGGGGAGCAAACGGG